GCUCUCGUCGUUCAAUGGAUAGGACGCAAGAUUGCGGAUCUUGCGAUGCAGGUUCGAUUCCUGCCGAGAGCACCA
rnacentral:tRNA from 1 species